rnacentral:lncRNA from 1 species
ACAACUUCUCCGUCACAUUCCUCAUUCCCACUGAUGGCUCUCCCGUUACCCCGCAGAAAUCCGUUCUCAAAGCCUUACCCACAUCCAUAAACUAUGUUUUCCUUCCUCCUGUUGCCUUCGAUGACCUUCCCGAGGACGUACGCAUCGAGACUCGGAUCUCGCUCAGCAUGACUCGGUCGGUUCCCGCCCUGCGGGACUCGCUCCGGACACUGACCGAGUCGACUCGGCUCGUGGCUCUGGUGGUUGACCUCUUUGGCACCGACGCUUUUGAUGUUGCCAAUGAAUUCGGUAUUCCUCCGUACAUCUUCUUCCCUACGACCGCCAUGGUGUUGUCGUUGAUAUUCCACGUGCCGGAGCUUGACCAGAAAUUCUCUUGCGAGUAUCGGGACCUACCCGAACCGGUCAAAUUUCCCGGCUGUGUGCCGGUUCAGGGGAGAGACCUAAUCGACCCGCUUCAAGACAGAAAAAACGAGGC